rnacentral:sRNA from 1 species
UGGCACUCUGCCGUCGGCUCGGCUCCGAU